rnacentral:snRNA from 1 species
AAGCCCCCUUGUAUAUUAAAAUUGGGAAGAUACAGAGAUACAGCAUAGCCCCUGCACAAGGAUGAUAUGUGAAUUUUCAGUAUUCCAUAUUUUU